rnacentral:tRNA from 1 species
GGGCCGAUGGUCUAGUGGUACGCGCUGAAACUCUGUGAGUUUAGCUGGUUUCAUGCUGCGCACGAAAUGACGUUCGUUUGACAGACGAAAGGUCGGCGGUUCAAUUCCGCCUCGGCCCA